UGUCCCCCUGUCAGUCUACUGUAUAGGUUAGGGGUGUCCCUGUCAGUCUACUGUAUAGGUUAGGGGUUAUGGUUAGAGGUGUCCCUGUCAGUCUACUGUAUAGGUUAGGGCUUAUGGUUAGAGGUGUCCCCUGUCAGUCUACUGUAUAGGUUAGAGGUUAUGGUUAGAGGUGUCCCUGUCAGUCUACUGUAUAGGUUAGAGGUGUCCCUGUCAGUCUACUGUAUAGGUUAGGGGUUAUGGUUAGAGGUGUCCCCUGUCAGUCUACUAUAUAGGUUAGGGGUUAAGGUUAGAGGUGUCCCUGUCAGUCUACUGUAUAGGUUAGGGGUUAUGGUUAGAGGUGUCCCCUGUCAGUCUACUGUAUAGGUUAGGGGUUAUGG
ensembl:lncRNA